UACGGGGGGAGCAAGCGUUGUUCGGAUUUACUGGGCGUAAAGGGCGCGUAGGCGGUCAGCACAAGUCAGUUGUGAAAUCUCCGGGCUUAACUCGGAAAGGUCAACUGAUACUGUGCGACUAGAGUGCAGAAGGGGCAACUGGAAUUCUCGGUGUAGCGGUGGAAUGCGCAGAUAUCAGGAGGAACACCGAUAGCGAAGGCAGCUCGCUGGGACGGUACUGACGCUGAGGCGCGAAAGCGUGGGGAGCGAACAGG
rnacentral:rRNA from 1 species